rnacentral:tRNA from 1 species
UCGUGGACUUAUCUCAGUUGGUAGAGAUAAUGCAUAAAAUAUAUAAAGUCUGGGUUCGAACCCCGGCCACUAA